CUUCGCUCCGUUUCCGUUUUCUGAUUAGCCUAUUGAUUAAUGAUUAAGGGAAAUGGGAAUCAGAAUCAGACUUCAGUUUCUAAGUAUUGGUCGAUGGAUGUAAACAUCAACUAGUUUGAUAGCCCUUCGCGUACCCUUACUUACCUUCUUGGGGUGUCAAAGACGCCUUUUGUCAAGCAGACAUCGGGGAAAGUGUUCCCGCAAGCAAGGAAGCAAGCAAUCCAGUGCGCA
rnacentral:misc_RNA from 1 species